rnacentral:lncRNA from 1 species
AUGACUUAAAAGUUAAGUACUCUUUUCUUUUUUAUGUUAAUAAGUGACAUUGAAGCUGGAAGAACAAAGGACUCUGUAGGAUCACACAGCCAGCGACAAGCCAGUAGCUUAAGUUUUUCUUAACCCUUUGACAUCUGCUACACUAGUCAGUAGUGAGUCCUGGCAUCCAUUAUAGCAGUAUGGAAACACUGGCAGAUAGUUGACUUAUUGAUCAUCUUUUGGUACAACAAUAAGCUAUGCCGUAUGCAAAGAUUGUGUAUAAGGAAUAUGUAUCUGAUUAUGUAUAGAUAUAUUAAGAGCAACUUUUCAUUCACAUAUUUCUCAUCAGCCCAGUCAUUCUCCAGAACUGCCCGUUCUGCGUGUUGUUCUUUGAUCCUUCUCACAGUCCUGAUGCUCUCGACAACUCCCAAAUACCCUUGCCAACCAGGGCUAAGUAGGCUUUGUCCAGGAACUCCUGCUCCAAGCUGGUAUGACAUUUACAUUCAGACCCUCACUUGGAAGGCUACCCUCUCUAGUAUCUGGCCAGCUCCAAGCUGUUGGGGAAUCAAGGGAAUCUCUCUCUCUCCCUCUCCCCAAAAAUUUUUGGUACACCAGUCACAACUUUUUUUCACAACUUCAUUUGCUCUUGAAGAAACAUCACAAUUCCUAACUGCCUAACAAUCUGGUCUCAGCCUCUCCCACACCCCUGUAACUCACCUUGCCAUUUCCUGCUGCUGUUAGCUUCUGAUGGAGUCUUACGUUUAUAGUCCCCGUGAGCCUCAGAAAGGCAAGUUUUGUGCAGUUCCAAGCUUCUCCUACUUGAACGAAUCGGGAGCGGAUGCAUUUUUUUUCUAUAAAGGCAGGACAGAGAGAUUUCUCAUUAUUCCAGGGAAACAUCCCCUCACGAAUACAAGAGUACAUUUGCAAACCAGCCUUUCAAAGAGCUAUUUCAAAAGCAAUAAGCAAGUGGUUCUAUGGUGAGGAUUACAAACACACCCUCAGGGUAAGUCAAGGGUGAAGAGGACAGUUCUAAUAUGACACAUUGGUCCAGACUCCGUGGAAGAGUGUCAGUCAGACACCUUUAAAGUACUGUAUCUCAAACAACUUAGAUGCAAGCAAAGGAGAUCUACUUAAACUAGGUGUAGACAUCAUGAAGGUGUUGAUUCAAAAGAUGCUUGUGGGGAAUUUGAAGCUAAUUGUUACUUAAUGUGAGAAUGGGGGAAAAGCAAUAUUUUGUAUUAUUGUAACAUAUAUAUAUAUGUAUAUCAUUAUUUUAAAAUAAGCAUGUAUAAUUAAAUAAAUUAGAUAUUAUAAAUAGA